GAAUAUUGCACAAUGGGCGCAAGCCUGAUGCAGCGACGCCGCGUGAGGGAUGGAGGCCUUGGGUUGUAAACCUCUUUUGUUAGGGAGCAAGGCACUUCGUGUUGAGUGUACCUUUCGAAUAAGCACCGGCUAACUACGUGCCAGCAGCCGCGGUAAUACGUAGGGUGCAAGCGUUAUCCGGAAUUAUUGGGCGUAAAGGGCUCGUAGGCGGUUCGUCGCGUCCGGUGUGAAAGUCCAUCGCUUAACGGUGGAUCCGCGCCGGGUACGGGCGGGCUUGAGUGCGGUAGGGGAGACUGGAAUUCCCGGUGUAACGGUGGA
rnacentral:rRNA from 1 species